rnacentral:rRNA from 1 species
AGGAUGAACGCUGGCGGUGUGCUUAAUACAUGCAAGUCGAGCGGUAAGGCCUCUUCGGAGGUACACGAGCGGCGGACGGCUGAGUAACGCGUAGGAAUCUACCCCAAACUGAGGAAUAAGCACCAGAAAUGGUGUCUAAUGCCGCAUAUGCUCUUCGGAGUAAAGCUUCGGCGGUUUGGGAAGAGCCUGCGUUCGAUUAGCUUGUUGGUAAGGUAACGGCUUACCAAGGCGACGAUCGAUAGCUGGUCUGAGAGGAUGAUCAGCCACAUUGGGACUGAGACACGGCCCAAACUCCUACGGGAGGCAGCAGUGGGGAAUAUUGGACAAUGGGCGCAAGCCUGAUCCAGCCAUGCCGCGUGAGUGAUGACGGCCUUAGGGUUGUAAAGCUCUUUCACCCACGACGAUAAUGACGGUAGUGGGAGAAGAAGCCCGGCUAACUUCGUGCCAGCAGCCGC